CCGCCAACACUUCACAGACCGCCCGCCCGACCGACCGCCACACACACACACACCGAAAGCGGCAACCAGAUCACACAACAAAAAAAACCGGACAAAGGCCGGGGAAGGAAGGGAGCCGGGGGUGAGAGAGAGGACAAAGCUGCCUUUUACCUGCCGUGAAACCAGUCUUUGCACGCAUCGCAUUCAAUCAUAAAUCGAGUUACGUCGUAAGCAAAGCAUUGAGAUGGCUACAUCCGUCAUGUCAAUUUGUGAUCUGAGGACAUAUCCACGUUGGAUGGAGAGCGCAAAUCCAUGGGUUCUGGCAGCAUUUCUGAUGGUUUUGAGGGGCAGGACAUAUUUUACUCCUGCACCAUUUGAGAAUUCAUGGCUUCAUAUUGACCUCAUGCCUAUUCAGAAUCUUGGAUCCAGCUUUGGAGUUCCUGAAGUCAUUUCACCUCCCGCUGCUCUCAGGUCCUGGAAGAUCAGACUUAACCUGAUGCAGAAUCUUCUACCCAUUAGCAACUCUGAUGGAGGUAUUUCUGGAGUUGCCUGUGGGAUAGAGCUACUACCAAACAAGAACCAUGACAUCUUGGAAUCUAGUGAGGCCGUAGGCUGUUACCUCAAUCCGGCCUUCAAAGUUUGGAUUGCUACUUCUGCCAGGCCAUUGGAUGAUGAAGCUGUCUGAAUAUGUCAAAUCCCAUUUGACGAUAAAGGAUAUUCUGGAUGGCGAGUUUUGAGAAGAUUUGUAGCUCAGGUUGAGUUUCCGGAUGUGCGUUUGCUAGCUGAGCUGGAAGGUUAGUUUUCAGACAUUUCGUCACCAUUCUAGGUAACGUCAUCAGUGAGCCUCCGAUGAACAUCAACUAGCCACAAAACGACAUGACCCACUAUCACUCGUAUCCUUACAUACAGAUGAGGAAGGACACCACUUUGAUUGGGACAACACAUCCAUCCCAGGACAAGCCAAACAGAGACAUGCACAAGAAUUCCUAGAAGCAUGGCAUUCGAACCGGAACUCCAUCAACAAACACAUUGGCUCCAAAUCAAUCUACCAUCCUCUGAAAAAAAAACAGGAAAUUACAUCACCAAUACAGGAAAUGACAUCACUAACCCAAGGAAACCUAAACAGAUAAAUAGAAAGCAGGAUAUAACACCAGCGCUUCAUCGGAGUCUCACUGAUGAUGUCACCUAGAAUGGUGACGAAACGUCUGAA